CCUACGGGAGGCAGCAGUGAGGAAUAUUGGUCAAUGGACGAGAGUCUGAACCAGCCAAGUAGCGUGAAGGAUGACUACCCUAUGGGUUGUAAACUUCUUUUAUAAAGGAAUAAAACGAGGCACGUGUGCCUUUUUGCAUGUACUUUAUGAAUAAGGAUCGGCUAACUCCGUGCCAGCAGCCGCGGUAAUACGGAGGAUCCGAGCGUUAUCCGGAUUUAUUGGGUUUAAAGGGAGCGUAGAUGGGUUGUUAAGUCAGUUGUGAAAUUUUGCGGCUCAACCGUAAAAUUGCAAUUGAUACUGGCAGUCUUGAGUACAGUUGAGGUAAGCGGAAUUCGUGGUGUAGCGGUGAAAUGCUUAGAUAUCACGAAGAACCCCGAUUGCGAAGGCAGCUUACUAAACUGUGACUGACAUUGAUGCUCGAAAGUGUGGGUAUCAAACAGGAUUAGAUACCCCUGUAGUC
rnacentral:rRNA from 1 species